GACGAACGCUGGCGGCGUGCUUAACACAUGCAAGUCGAGCGGUAAGGCCCUUUCGGGGGUACGACGAGCGGCGAACGGGUGAGUAACACGUGGGUGACCUGCCCUCAGCUCUGGGAUAAGCCUGGGAAACCGGGUCUAAUACUGGAUAUGACUCCAUGACGCAUGUUGUGGGGUGGAAAGCCUUGUGCGGCUGAGGAUGGGCCCGCGGCCUAUCAGCUUGUUGGUGGGGUGANGGCCUACCAAGGCGACGACGGGUAGCCGGCCUGAGAGGGCGACCGGCCACACUGGGACUGAGACACGGCCCAGACUCCUACGGGAGGCAGCAGUGGGGAAUCUUGCGCAAUGGGCGAAAGCCUGACGCAGCGACGCCGCGUGAGGGAUGACGGCCUCGGUGU
rnacentral:rRNA from 1 species